GUACUUGCUUUGACAGCACAUACACUAAAAUUGGAACAUACAGAGACUGGCAUAGCCCCCUGCACAAGGAUGACACACAAAUUCAUGAAACAUUCUGCAUUUUU